rnacentral:ribozyme from 13 species
UUUUUCUUUUUCUUUUUCUUUUUCUUCUUCUCCCUUAUUGUGACAACUAACGAUAAAUAAAUCUUUCAAAAGGGAAAAAACAUUUGAUUUCUGGAGCAUAAAGGCAUCAUCGAUGGUAAAAGAAACAUGAAAAAGAGAUAGACACUGUAUUUUUACACUUCGUGACGAGUUGGUUGAGGAUAAUAAUUCCAUAACAGCAUCAAAAUAUGAAGAA